rnacentral:rRNA from 1 species
UACGUAUGUCGCAAGCGUUAUCCGGAUUUAUUGGGCGUAAAGCGCGUCUAGGUGGUUUAAUAAGUCUGAUGUGAAAAUGUGGAGCUCAACUCCGUAUUGCGUUGGAAACUGUCAAACUAGAGUAUCGGAGAGGUGGGCGGAACUACAAGUGUAGAGGUGAAAUUCGUAGAUACUUGUAGGAAUGCCGAUAGAGAAGUCAGCUCACUGGACGAAUACUGACACUGAAGCGCGAAAGCAUGGGGAGCGAACAGG